GCCUCCUUGAUGUAUGGAAACAACUUCGUUGUUCAGGCCUGGCGCAUCGUUAAGUUCGGCUGAUUCUCCACUGGCGCUGCAUUUAGCGGACUGACGUUUAUUUGACAAAUACCAUUUUUGAGGUUAAAGACUAAUAAAUUUGAAAGAUGUAAGUGUGCAUUCGUGAAAUACGUUGAAAAUGUGAGGAUAAUUCUAAAGUUAUGCCCUGAAUGAACGUUUGGAUAGUGUAACUUUUGCAGGAAAUCAUUUUACGAUCAUUAGGAUUUUUUAUUUUCAGCUUCAGAAGAUAUACAAAUUAUUUCAAGGUGAAUUGAUUGUUCAUCGUUUAUAAGUAUUUUAAGCAUAACCUACGGCACUAGUACGCAGACACAGAUGCAGAGAAAACGAUGUUUCAAAGAACCUUCCAUUUAUUAUGCAUACUCUAUGGUUUUACCAAUGGUUAAGGUUGAAUGCGUUACAAAUCUGUGAUUUUUAAGACAUGGCUUAAGUUUUCUGAAAGUUUUAGUAAAAUGUGCAAAGAAAGUCGUUUUUUUCAAAUGAAAUGGUUUAAAAAAGCUCGAUCCAGCGUUCUUCUGCUGCGUUACUCUCUGCUGGAGUGUCUCUGAACCGUCCGUUCCAAAGUCCCUGUCUGGACCUCUGCUCACUCUCAAGCACCGCUCGUGGAUCACCAAACUCCCGAAAAAAAUCUACUACUUUAUAAAUUUUUUUGAGUUUUUGUAUUUAGAAAUUAUCAAUUACAUUGUGGGCUCUUUUUCA